rnacentral:rRNA from 1 species
AAACCAACAGGGAUUACCUCAGUAACGGCGAGUGAAGCGGUAAGAGCUCAAAUUUGAAAGCUACCAACAGGUCGCAUUGUAAUUUGUAGAAGAUGCUUUGGGUGUUGACCUAGUCUAAGUUCCUUGGAACAGGACGUCAUAGAGGGUGAGAAUCCCGUAUGUGAUUAGUGUCAGCCCCCGUGUAAAGCUCUUUCGACGAGUCGAGUUGUUUGGGAAUGCAGCUCAAAAUGGGUGGUAAAUUUCAUCUAAAGCUAAAUAUUGGCCAGAGACCGAUAGCGCACAAGUAGAGUGAUCGAAAGAUGAAAAGCACUUUGGAAAGAGAGUUAAACAGUACGUGAAAUUGUUGAAAGGGAAGCGCUUGCAAUCAGACUUGCAGGCAGUCGAUCAUCCGAGGUUCUCCCCGGUGCACUCGAUUGUCUUCAGGCCAGCAUCGGUUUCGGUGGUGGGAUAAAGGCUGUGGGAAUGUGGCUCUUCGGAGUGUUAUAGCCCACGGUGCAAUGCCGCCUACCGGGACCGAGGACCGCGCUUCGGCUAGGAUGCUGGCGUAAUGGUUGUAAGCGAC